rnacentral:lncRNA from 1 species
GGGUCAAAAGUCAAAACCAAAGAGUGAUUCGCAUGUUAGAAAGAAUAUGGGAACUGGAUCCAUGUGAUGGGCCAAUACUAAGGCCCUUUACCUUAGCGGGACCUACUUUUGAUCAAAAUCUUAUGUCUGCCACGUGGUUAGCACUGGACCCGACUUUGUCGCUUUACAUAUGCUCUCUGGACCCUCUUAAUUAAAUACUUUUAACUGUAAUAGAUUGUUAAAGGUUCAUUAUUUUUCAAUAAUGACACCCAUUAACUUCCUAACUAAAAACAGUAUUUUAAUUUUUUUUUCUUGUUUUUUUUAAAAGCUGGAUAAUUAUAGUAUUACAAAUUAUUUAAAAUAUUAUAGACGAUUCUACAAUCCCGACAAUUCUACAUGUCUUAUGAGAAUUCACGUCUGACAGCAUCACUUGAGCCGCCAUAUGAACUUCACGCCUGACGGUACUCUUUGAGCCAUGCUGCAGAUCUUUUGUGCGCUUUUUUUUUUCUUCUAUUAAUUCGUAUACUUCCGCUUUCUCUAGCGAUCAAAAUCCAAAUCUUCUGAUGUAAAAGCAUUAAUGAAUCAUUAGUCAAAUCACUGAACCAAAGGUCUUCUACUAAUUUUUUUUCUUUAAAAGACUCCAUUAUUUAAAAUUAAUUAUUCUCAUCAUAAAAUUAUGACACUUU